rnacentral:piRNA from 1 species
UCCCUUUGCUUCCCUAUACUUUUGUAUUGG